AGCAGCCGCGGUAAUUCCAGCUCCAAUAGCGUAUAUUAAAGUUGCUGCAGUUAAAAAGCUCGUAGUUGAAUUUCGGGACUAAUAUGUCGGUCGUGCCUCGGUACGUACUGGCUUAUUGGUUUCUCCUUUCUGAAGAACCAUGAUGUCAUUUAUUUGGUGUCGUGGGGAAUCAGGACUGUUACUUUGAAAAAAUUAGAGUGUUUAAAGCAGGCUCACGCUUGAAUACAUUAGCAUGGAAUAAUGAAAUAGGACGUUUGAUUCUAUUUUGUUGGUUUCUAGGAUCGACGUAAUGAUUAAUAGGGAUAGUUGGGGGCAUUAGUAUUCAAUUGUCAGAGGUGAAAUUCUUGGAUUUAUUGAAGACUAACUACUGCGAAAGCAUUUGCCAAGGAUGUUUUCAUUAAUCAAGAACGAAAGUUAGGGGAUCGAAGACGAUCAGAUACCGUCGUAGUCUUAACCAUAAACUAUGCCGACUAGGAAUCGGGCGAUGUUGAAAAAAUGACGC
rnacentral:rRNA from 1 species